rnacentral:rRNA from 1 species
CCUACGGGAGGCAGCAGUUUGGAAUUUUGGACAAUGGGCGAAAGCCUGAUCCAGCGACGCCGCGUGGACGAUGAAGGCCUUCGGGUUGUAAAGUCCUUUUGCUAGGGAACAAUAUUUUGAGCGUACCUAGAGAAUAAGAGGUUGCUAACUCUGUGCCAGCAGCAGCGGUAAUACAGAGACCUCAAGCGUUAUCCGGAAUCAUUGGGCGUAAAGCGUACCGAUAGGUGGUUAUACAAGUCAGAAGUGAAAUCUCCGAGCUUAACUCGGAAUCUGUCUUUUGAAACUGUAUGACUAGAGGAACAAAGAGGAAGCUGGAACGAACGGUGUAGUAGUGAAAUGCGUUGAUAUCGUUCGGAACACCGAUAGCGUAGGCAGGCUUCUGGGUGUUUCCUGACACUGCUAGGACGAAAGCGUGGGUAGCGAAUGGGAUUAGAUACCCUUGUAGUC